rnacentral:snRNA from 1 species
GUGCCCACUUUGGCAGCACAUACACUAAAAUUGGAACGAUACAGAGAAGAUUAGCGUGGCCCCUGCGUAAGGAUGACAUGCAAAUUCGUGAAUUGGUCCAUAUUUUU